ACCACCUAAGAUUUUAUUUUAUUUUAUUUUAUUUUAUUUUAUUUUAUUUUAUUUUAUUUUAUUUUAUUUUAUUUUAAUUUAUUUUAUUUUAUUUUAUUUUAUUUUAUUUAUUAUUUAUUUUAUUACUUUAUUAUUUUAUUUUAUUUUAUAUAUAUUUUUUUAUUUUUAUUUUUUUCCACCUAGGAUUUUAAAGAGAUUAGAGAUGUGAAAGGCCCCUGAGAAGUUUGAAGUGCCGGGUAAAUGAGAGGCCUCUGGAAGAGCCAGGUGGACGCCGAUUCAAUUUUCUAGUACCUGGGAAGUAGUUUCAGAUAAAGCAAAUCAAGACUGUCUCUUUAAUUGAGAUAAUGCAGGCAAAGCUCCCCCUCUAGAGUCCCAGGCUCCUAGUGAGUACCCAAUAAGUGUUUGCUCUUAUUAUUUCUUUCCUCAGAAAUCUGUAAUCUCAGAAAAUGCAAUCAUUUCAGAGCACUACGUCGACCAAUUGCACUUCAGAAUAAACCUGUCUUGGUUUAUACUGAAAACAGUAUGUGCGUGGGGGGUAUCUUUACCUUGAUGACUACAAGCCAGAAAGCAAGAUUUUCAGGUGGAAGGAGGAAAAUCCGUGCAUUAAAAUCUGGAGUUGAUCCCAGGGAACAAAUUGUAUCUGAGCCAGAAGUGAGUCCACUUCAGCUAAAUGACAUUCCUCCACCCGCCGAUCUGCUAUCAGCUUUUCCUGGAACGUUCAGGUAGGUGCUAUGCAAUUUUUACCUCUGAGUCUUUGAGCACAUCGAUCCAUCAUCAUCAAUAACAUCAUAGCUAAAAUUUAUGAGAUGUCUACUUAUGCUCUUAUAAGAAAUUAUGUCUAUGAUUUUGUAAAAUUUAUGGGGUGUCUACUUAUGCUCUUAUAAGAAAUUAUGUCUAUGAUUUCGUUUAAACUUCACCAAACGUUUUGGGUAGUUAAUAUUGGUCAGUCCAUUUUCAGAUAAGAAUGUUGAAAUUCAGGGGAUUUAUAGCUUGGCCAGGGCCUUACAGCUAUUGAGUGGUAGCAGAAUAGUCAACUCUGGUUACUGUGAUGGGUGUACUUCACCCUUACUCAUCUUUUGCCCUUACUCAACCCUUACUCAUCCUUUAAGAUCAGGGUCAGGACAAUCUGUUGCAGUAUUUUCUCUACGACCCCAAAUUAGGCUGUUUUGUCAGCUCCCCCAUGGCACCUGAACCCCAUCACACAGCGCGGUUUUCCCUACCCAUGUUGCCCACUUCUUACUUCUGCCUGUAUUGGAGAGCAGUACUUGUGUAGAUCGGCUGGAUCCAUGACACCUUAUUAUAUAUAUUAUAUUUUUUGCCCUUAGGGUACCUGUGUUUUCAUACUGCAGUUGUGUGAGAAGUCACACUUUUAGCUCUUCUGGUGAAAUGUGCUGAAAGUGUUUGCAUUCCAAUUGGUUGCCUAGGACAUGAGGUGUUCAGAAUAAAGGUAGGAAAUGCUUGAAAGAAGGGCA
rnacentral:lncRNA from 12 species